AGGUCGUCAGAAAGAAACGCUCUUUGCCUUUCUCCAAAGGACACUGCAGUUGGGUGUUACAAAGAAAGCGCUUAAAUGGCACCUGAUGCAGAGUUGGACAUGAUCACUCUACCGGAACACCAAGGGGAUCGUGAUGUCAUCUGUAUUCUUUCCAUCACCAGCCAUCUGGAAAAGAGGAGCAGUAUCACUACUGCUCCCCUCAUUGUCAUCUAGCCAACAGAAAUGAUCGGUGUAAAUGCACUUUAUUACAGAAACACCCCUUAUCACCCCUUACUCCUACAGGUCCAUUCCAAACUGUGCUGGCCCAGCAGUCAAUACCACUCUGCCAAAAUAUGGGUGGGACACAAUUUGAACUGCCCGAG